AACGCCGCGUGACCGAUGAAGCUUUUAGGAGUGUAAAGGUCUGUCGUGAAGGAAGAAAAAGUCCGAGAAUAAUAAGUUCGGUAAUUGACGGUACUUCACAAGCAAGCUCCGGCUAACUUCGUGCCAGCCACUGCGGUGACUGAGCGGGCUGGCAAGGCGCAUA
rnacentral:rRNA from 1 species